UCACACUGUAAGACUUACAAAGGAGCUCACU
rnacentral:piRNA from 1 species